GUAGAAGCCGCCUCGCUCGGACAUUUUCCGGGCCCGGAGCCCGAGGGGAAGGGAAGCCGCUCCGAGAGGGGAACCCGCACAGCUGGAAAUAGAUGCAUUCUUGGUGACGUCAGUUUCUCAGAUGACUCAUCUAUGCCCUGAAUAACCUCAAUUACGUGAUUGUAAUUUUGGUACAGUCAGAAGAAGAGCCCAUAAACACACAACUGUAUUGAUGUUAUGGCAUGUAAAAACAAAGAUGGAAAUGA